GAGUGCCGCGGAUUAGAGGGAACCAUCCCGAAAAUCGUACUAUAAUGAUCCAAGGACAAUGCCUUGUACAUUCUUUCAGCCCUGUAGAGUCCAACUCUUUUCAUGACAUGAGGGUCUUGUGGCCGUCGUCUUCCUUCCUAUACAAAAUUCUGGUGUUGUUAUGUUUGUUUGGUAAGCUUUGCAGCCACUUGUGUUUACAUUUUGUCCAAAACUCAUGAUGACCUGAUGGUGUACCUGGAACGUUCAGUUUUAAGGAUCAAAAGACCAUCACGGCAUACUGAUAAGCAUACUGUAGCAGUUCAGGCGUGGAGUCUGAAGGUAUAGUGC